rnacentral:tRNA from 1 species
CGGGGUGUUCCGCAGAUGGCUACACGGGCCUGCCUUGGAAGCAGGUGUUCGCAGGUUCAAAUCCUGCUACCCCGACUA